rnacentral:rRNA from 1 species
UAGCCGGCCUGAGAGGGCGACCGGCCACACUGGGACUGAGACACGGCCCAGACUCCUACGGGAGGCAGCAGUGGGGAAUAUUGGGCAAUGGACGAAAGUCUGACCCAGCGACGCCGCGUGCGGGAUGAAGGCCUUCGGGUUGUAAACCGCUUUCAGCAGGGAAGAAGCGAAAGUGACGGUACCUGCAAAAGAAGCACCGGCUAACUAUGUGCCAGCAGCCGCGGUAAUACAUAGGGUGCAAGCGUUGUCCGGAAUUAUUGGGCGUAAAGAGCUCGUAGGUCGUUAAUUACGUCGGGUGUGAAAAUCUGGGGCUCAACCCCAGACCUGCACUCGAUACGGGUUAGCUAGAGUUUGGUAGGGGA